AUAUAUCUACUUAAACUGAAUUCAUGAUAAAUGGACUUUCAAAAUAAGCAUGUGCCUUUCCUCUCUGUACUCAAGCUCAGGGUAGCACAGGGAAGGGAUACCUGGGACAGGCAAGAUCUAAGCAUGUCCUGUUAGGUCAUGUCAUUUAUCCAGAAUGUGUUCAUGCUUCUUUGUUGCUAUCAUUAAUUUUCUGAUUUACUUAACUACAUUGGUAUCUUUAUGAACUUGCCUAUUUUAGAAACAUAAGGAUCCGAAGUCCUGCCAGGUGGUGAGGAGAGGACCCUGGGCCUCCCUGUGACACUUGUGCACUCUGUCUCACAGGCUCUCCAGCAAAGCGAGGCACCAGCUGUACAGACUCAGGUCUCCUGGUGGACGAAUGGAAAGAGUGACGGUGAAGGACUCAACCCUCUGAUGGAGGAGAAGAUAUCAUGAUUUUGACUUAUGCUCUGAUCUAUGACCAAGGCAGCGUUGUACCAAACCCAACAUUCUUGUCUUCAAGAAAUAUCCAGACCUCGUCCCUGAUCAUUCUUAACCUCUUCCUUGCUGUUCUCCUUCACAUGCUGAGUCCUAUUCAUUCAGGUAUUUGUACCCAAAUGUCCUUCACUGGAAAUGCGCCCACUGGAGUCCAAUCA